CCGACCUUAGCUCAGCUGGAAGAGCGUCAGACUGUAAUUGGUUAUCUGAACGUCGUGUGUUCGAUUCACACAGGUCGGA